UUUGUUCUGUUUGCUUACUCUUACUUUGGCUAUAUAGGCUCUUUUUUGGUUCCAUAUGAAUUUUAGAAUUGUUUUUUUCUAGUUCUAUGAAGAAUAAUGGAUACAUUUAGCAGGAUCACUAAAAUAUUAUCAUCACAAUUUAAGAGUUAUAGUGAACACUUUGUUCUUCUAGAGUUCAUGUCAAACUACAUCUGCAAAGCCACCUUGUCAGUAGGCAGUCAUAAUGCCUGUGAGAAUGUCGGUUAGCACCAUAACAUU
rnacentral:lncRNA from 1 species